ACUCCUCUCAUACAUCAUGUUUUCUCCCUCAUCUCUCUCUACCGCCUACUGCGUGCUGAAAAUCGCCUACGGCAGCGGGCCACCUCCAAACACCCCCAAAUGUUCACCAGGUGAUCCUCGUCCCUUCCUCAUCCUUAAUCUCUUAACCAUUAUCUCUGAAACCCCCUAGAACUCGUCAUUUAGUAGAUCUUAGAAUUUCAAAAAAUCUAUAUUUACCCCUUUCCUGAUUUCUCCUCAAUUUGGCCUGUUUGAACUUGAAAGCUACGUUAAUUGAUUGCUCUUGAUGAGAUCAAUCAAUUGACAUUAGUUUUGGUUCAUUUUACGGCCAUCAAAAUCCAUUCAACCCCGUUGACCGGCCAGUUUCUUCUCUAAUUGCUCCAUUUUGUUUCUCCGGCUUGCCGGAAUCACUUUCAUCGAUAUGUUGGAACCCAAUAGGUUCAUCUUUAAGUUGAUGUUAAAUGUGGCAAACUUGUGCAUCUAACCACCAGCUGGUCAGAUUCAUUUGUGAAAAUCCAGAUCAACAGGGUUAACCACAAGAAGUAUAUGAUUGGGGGAGGUCUUGUUGUUGGCUCUUCCCAGUCGAUGCAAGCAGUAGUAGAUAACAUGGAUUCAUAGUUUAUAGGCUAAAUUGUAAAAUUAAUUGGUUGUAUUACAGAAGUAAUCACGUUGUGUAUUGAUCACUGUAUGUGGAAGAUACCUUUACAUGAUGAA